CAGUCGCCGCGGUAAUACGUAGGUGGCAAGCGUUAUUCGGAUUGAUUGGGUGUAAAGGGUGUGCAGACGGCUUAUUAAGUCACUUGUUAAAUUCUUCGGCCUAACUGAAGGUCUGCAAGUGAUACUGAUGAGCUAGAGGGUGGAAGAGAGAAGUGGAAUUCUCGGAGUAGCGGUAAAAUGCGUAGAUCUCGAGAGGAACACCAAUGGCGAAGGCAGCUUCUUGGUCCAUUCCUGACGUUCAUACACGAAAGCGUGGGGAGCAAACAGGAUUAGAGACCCCGGUAGUCCCUGUCUCUUAUAC
rnacentral:rRNA from 1 species